UCCCUGGUGGUCCAGUGAUUAGGACUCAGUGCUUUCACUGCUAUGGCCUGGGUUUAAUCCCUGGUUGGGGAA
rnacentral:tRNA from 1 species